UCUCUGAUUACAAUGUAACACCAGUUUUUCACUUUAGAAUCAGAAUCAGAACGAGCUUUAUUGUCAAGUAUCUUCACACAUACAAAGAAUUUGUCUGGGUGACAGAAACUUCCACAGCACAGACAGAAUAAGAAUAAAUAGUUAUAGAAUAAAAGAAAGUUAUUACAAUUACACACAGUAAUGUCACUUUCGCUGGCGCGCGACACAACAUUCAAGGCCAUUGAAGUAACACGUGGUAGUGCGCUGCGCUCCGGCAUUAACAGCUCCGCUGCUCCGGGGGCCACGCGUGGAUCCCCGUCUUAAAGAGACCAAUCACGUGCUUUACGUUGUUGUUAUGCAAAUUACGGAGCGCGGGAUUGUGGGCGCACCGUCCUUUUCAGCUUUACCACUUACUGUAUUUGUGAAAACGAAACUUCUCCUUCAUCUCUGAACGCCUAUUGUCCCGUUAUCUUGACUACUGUGAUCACGAAGCUCGUUUUGACUCGAUUUUUAGAUUCCGUGUUGAUUGUCUCGCGGUCGUCAGAGCUAAUCGUUGCCCGCACGGGUCACCGUGUCCGAUUCUGUAAAACUGUAUUAACUGACAGUCGGUACGUGGCUCGUGUUUCUGCGCAUUUCGCACUGCAACCCGUUGACUUCUGGAACGGUUUGUGCCGCUCUGGAUGUUGAGCGCCUCGCCGUCCUCCAGCAGCCUGGUGUCCCGCGGCCCCCCGGCCUGCUGUCCAUCCAGCUUCUCAACUGUGCUGUUCUUCAGGGGAGGGAGUCCAUCAUGAGCCCUUCCGCUCAGAACUUCACCACAGAUCUCGCACCUACAGGUAAGGCACAGUACCGCGGUACACGGGUCUUUCGGUGGGCUGCCUUCACUUCUGCUCCCAAAGUCCCACUUGGGUGCAUUUCCAAGGCUGGCAGCACAGCACUUGUUUAUAUGUUUAAUAUAUUUAGUAGAGGAGACUAAACACAGCUUCAUUCAUUCAUUCAUUCAUUCAUUCAUUCAUGACUGGCUUCAGGACAGCAGUGUGAAAUAAACUGUGAGAUUCAGAGGGAAAGUGUACA
rnacentral:lncRNA from 1 species